rnacentral:lncRNA from 12 species
CUGGCGGAGAGAAUUUACAUUUAAAGAUUAGCGGAGAGAGAAAGAGAAAUCUGCCUUUUGUUGUGCGGGGUGAGGAGGAGGCAUCAGUCCUGGCCUGGCCGCUAUCUCCCAUCACCUCUGCGACCCAGACAGGACUCGGCGAGGGAGCACACUUGUCAUCUACGUCUCAAAUGAAACUACUCUCUGAAGCCUUCAGGACGUCUCUUCCUCAAAGCUUGGAUUUAUCACAUCCAACUCUUUGCUACUGUCCAUGUGAUUCAGACUUCUCUGCUGGCUUGUAAGCUUGUUGAAGAAAAGAUUGAUCUCUGGGCUGGUGAACAUAAUAUCUGUCCCAGUCAGAAAAGGAGAGAGGAAAUUAGCAGAGCGAUUGGUGGAGAAUGAUAUCUGUCAAAAGAAACACUUGGAGAGCACUGAGUUUAGUAAUAGGUGACUGCCGGAAAAAAGGGAACUUUGAAUAUUGUCAAGAUCGGACUGAGAAGCACUCCACGAUGCCAGACUCACCUGUGGAUGUGAAGACCCCGUCUAGGCUGACUCCUCCUACCAUGCCACCUCCCCCCACAACUCAAGGAGCUCCGAGAACGAGUUCAUUUACACCGACGACUUUAACUAAUGGCACGAGCCAUUCACCCACAGCCUUGAAUGGCGCCCCCUCGCCGCCCAAUGGCUUUAGCAAUGGGCCUUCCUCUUCUUCCUCCUCUUCUCUGGCUAAUCAACAGCUGCCCCCAGCCUGUGGCGCCAGGCAGCUCAGUAAGCUGAAACGGUUCCUUACUACCCUGCAGCAGUUUGGCAAUGACAUUUCUCCAGAGAUAGGAGAGAGAGUCCGCACCCUCGUACUAGGACUGGUGAACUCUACUUUGACAAUUGAAGAAUUUCAUUCCAAACUGCAAGAAGCUACUAACUUCCCACUGCGACCUUUUGUCAUCCCAUUUCUGAAGGCCAACCUGCCCCUGCUGCAGCGCGAGCUCCUCCACUGCGCAAGGCUGGCCAAACAGAACCCUGCCCAGUACCUCGCCCAGCAUGAACAGCUGCUUCUGGAUGCCAGCACCACCUCACCUGUUGACUCCUCAGAGCUGCUUCUCGAUGUGAACGAAAACGGGAAGAGGCGAACUCCAGACAGAACCAAAGAAAAUGGCUUUGACAGAGAGCCUUUGCACUCAGAACAUCCAAGCAAGCGACCAUGCACUAUUAGCCCAGGCCAGCGGGACUCCUAUCGACACCCCAGCCACAGGGACCUCAGGGACAGAAACAGACCUAUGGGGUUGCAUGGCACACGUCAAGAAGAAAUGAUUGAUCACAGACUAACAGACAGAGAAUGGGCAGAGGAAUGGAAACAUCUUGACCAUCUGCUGAACUGCAUCAUGGACAUGGUGGAGAAGACGCGGCGCUCCCUCACGGUGCUGCGGCGCUGCCAGGAGGCCGACCGCGAGGAGCUCAAUUACUGGAUCCGGCGCUACAGCGACGCCGAGGACCUGAAGAAAGGCGGCGGCGGUGGCGGCGGCCACUCCAGACAGCAGAGUCCGGUCAACCCGGACCCGGUUGCACUAGAUGCGCAUCGGGAAUUCCUUCACAGGCCUGCUUCUGGAUACGUGCCAGAGGAGAUCUGGAAGAAAGCUGAGGAGGCGGUCAACGAGGUGAAGCGCCAGGCGAUGACCGAGCUGCAGAAGGCCGUGUCCGAGGCCGAGCGGAAGGCCCACGACAUGAUCACCACCGAGCGCGCCAAGAUGGAGCGCACGGUGGCCGAGGCCAAGCGGCAGGCGGCGGAGGAUGCGCUGGCCGUCAUCAACCAGCAGGAGGAUUCGAGCGAGAGUUGCUGGAACUGCGGCCGCAAAGCUAGCGAGACGUGCAGCGGCUGUAACACGGCCCGGUACUGUGGCUCAUUUUGCCAGCACAAGGACUGGGAGAAGCACCACCACAUCUGCGGCCAGACCCUGCAGGCCCAGCAGCAGGGGGACACGCCCGCUGUCAGCUCCUCCGUCACGCCCAACAGCGGGGCCGGCAGCCCCAUGGACACACCACCAGCAGCCACCCCGAGGUCGACCACCCCGGGGACCCCCUCUACCAUAGAGACAACCCCUCGCUAG